GUCGCUCCUCCUUGCGAGAAGGGAAACGCCUUUCGGGUGGCCCCCACUCGCCGGCGGCAACAACUUUCUGCUCUGACGGACGGGGGGAGCGCGGUGCAAAGGCUGAAAGGGCUGUUCCCAGGCUUCGACAAAAGAUGCUGUAAAGGGGUAUAAAGCGGCUGCGUGUGCUCCGAGUGAUUAACUUCAGGAUCUGAAAAAUGGCUGGACCUAAUUGCAAACCUCCGAGCUAGCCUUGCGAGACGCCUUGAAGGUAUCAUGCCAGUACAUCGAGUGAGCAGGAAGAGGCAGCCACCACAAAGAGAUGAAGAGAAAUGUUCAGAGAAAUUCUGCAGUGGACUUUUUCUGACUGUAAGGAAAAAGAAAGCUCCAGCUGCAAUCCAGUACCAAGUGGAGAAGCUGCUUCCAUUGCUGAGAAAGAAGCAGUCAGUGAGCAUCACACAGUUGUGGUGAAAGCAAAGCUGCAACUCCUGACUGACUGACUGACAGAAUCAAUGACUGACAGGAUCAAUGGCCCUUCAAAAGACAAAGGUUUCCUAUCCUUCACCAGAGUGAGAGAUGCAGGGUGACUUUGGGCCAUUCCAAAAAGACCGAGGUAUGUCAAGGGUAGAGUUUUCCCAAGAUACCCUUGAGAGGUCCUGUUCAAGGUGCUAUCAGAACAAUCCAGACUUUUCCCCUCCUAAUAUGAUGACGAACUCCCAACUGCCUCAGGGAUAGACACGUAAACAUUUAAUAGCUCAGUAAGGAAACAUAAAAUAUUCAAAAGUCGUUCCACAACUGAGCAGCCCAUAAUGUGGCAGCAAUUUUUUUAAAGGCUGUUCAGAGGCAAUAAAUUUUCAGGAUGUGAAAAUCAAUCAGCACUUCAUCAUGUCACCCUUCAACAUUAUGGCAACUUUCCCUUCCAGACCAGCACUAAAUCUAAAUGAAUUACAGAGGGAAUUUCACACUGGCACAGUAUAAUUACCUGAGCGGGCCUCUUGCCAAGAAAGGAGGCCCAUCAUUCAGGGGAAAGUGCCAUCAUCCCUGUUGGGCUUCCAGAUCUGUUUUGUGUGCAGCCCCCACCCCAAAGUCUCAGCAGCCCACUGACACCCAAGUAUCAGUGACCCAGGCCUUGCUUCGGGGCAUCCAGAGCUGCCCCUUGUGAGAGGCAGGGCAGGAUCUGUCCCCUCUCUUGGGUGGUGUGCGUGUGGUGGGUGGGAGAGGAAGUCACAAUCGCCAUGUGCAAAGCAAACUUUGUGUGAUACAAACAGACUGGAGACAUCUUUCAUCAGAAGGAAGACAUGCUGUAUUCCAUUCAGAUUUAUUUCCAAGUAACUGUGUAUACAACUACAGCCUUUCUCUGCUUCGGCCAUUCUUUGCUGCUCUCUAUCUUUCUUGUCAGUCUCUACAUUCUCUUUGCAAAGGGACAAGAGAUUAUAAAGGCAGUGCCCCCUGACACCCAGCUGUGUAUUCCUUCUUCUGCUGAAGUCAGUGGCAUAGCUCCUGGUGAUACUAACGCAGAAUUAUUUGUGAAUCAACGUUAGAGGCUAUGUAAGACACUGCAAACACCAGUCAACUAACUGAUCCAUUCAUUUGGAAUGCAUAAUUAUUUUGGCUCAUUUAAAAUCGGCUUUAUUUAAAAGCCUGCUUGGAAAUUCCCUUGUUAAAAGUUUCUGAUCCGUAAGGGCAGUAAGGCAAGCUUGAAAGUGUUUAUUAAAAACCUGGAAGCUAAAAGGACUUUAUGGUGCUUCCAAAUUUAGAUUAUGCUAGCGGUCAACCUCUGCAGAGGCACCCUUUGACCAUGUGUGCUAUGUCCUCCCUUGGACCAGGGUCAGGAGAAACCCAUCCUUCCUGUUGGAAAUAAAAAGUGCUGUGCGUAGCACUGAUUGGUCAGGAACUGAUAUGGUCCCGGACUCAAGUCCCGCCUUCUCUCCUCUGAACAAAGCGAGGACGGAUUUCAGCAGAGGUCCAGGGCAUGCAGAAGAAGGGGUCUUAGAGAACAGUGGGAUUCUUCUACUUGCUCUCUGCCCCUGCCCCGUGUCCUUCCCACUGGAGACAGGCAUGGAAGCCAUCCUGAGACCUGAUAUAAUAGGAUGGCAUACAAAAGCUUUUAAUAAAUAAGAUAAAUAAGCAAGCAUCAUUAUCUGAACCAAGGCACAGGAGGGAGAAAUGCGUCUCCACCUGGGCCAUGCUUGGGCCAGCCACUCUCCCCGCCCAAACACCGGGGGAAAGAGCUCCAGCUGGCACUCAGGUUGAGGGCUGAACAGCAUCACAGGAAGGGCCCCAGCCACCUGUGUCCAGGAUGGACAUCACCUUCGCAUCAGUCAGCCCACAUUGGCCUGGUGGAGGGUCCAACCCCAAAUAGGGCAUCCCCUCUCUAACACUGCUGUUUUUUUUAAGAGAGGAAAACUAUACAUGAAAGCCCUUUAAAAAAAUGAAAAAAUAGAGUGUGUAUUCGAAGCAUGCUGAGGUCUAGUAAGACUACUAAACUGGUGCAGAAUCCAUUGCCUGAUGGGUUGUGAAGAGGGCAGGGAAAUUGGCUCAAGCAGCAGAAGAAUAAUGCAGUGGUUUUUGAUUUACUCAUCUAUCUACAUGCAGCCUUAGUCUCUGCUGGUGUCUCUUGCAGAUUUUUCAAGAAAAAGUUGUCUCCUGUGCUGUUGUUACUGUUUUCUCGGAUCAAAAAAUCACUGAUGUUUUUGCUAACACCCUGAACAUUCAUGCUUAGUUCCUUCCUGUGUUCAGUUUGUGCUUGCUUCCAAACUUUUGCAAAAUGAUUCUGUGUUUUGUUUUGUUUGCAAAUCUGGCAAUUCUGUCAAAGGCAGGACAUUGUCUGAAUCUUUAUCUGCUUCCAUAGCACAAAUGACCAUUUAUGUAGCCUUUUGCAGAAUUAUUCUAACAGUUCUGGGUACAGUUCAAAUUAGAAUAUUCCAUUCUGCUUUGCUUUGCAACUAGCUUGAUCCGGACCCCGGUUUGUGUGCCAACAGGCUUUUCUUUUUCUCAAUCCGCUUAGUUUCAUGGGUGGGGCUGGGUCUGAGCCCACUUACAGCUAGGGAAGAAGGAAUAAAGCUUCCCUCCUUACAUACUGUGAUCAAAGAGCAAUUCCUCAUCCGAUAUCCUACUUCCUAUAUAUUUCUUUAUACUUAUGAUAAGAUAAUUUUAAAACUGCGAAGAAAGAUGGAAAGCUGCCAAAGAGCUUGUGUGAGAAAUCUUAGAAAACAAAGCCUCUGCAUGCUGCCCAUUUGCAAGAACAAAGCCAAUAACUAUCUAUGGGGAGAAGUAUAUGCAUAUGCAUGGUCUUCCAAAUAUCAGAUUGAUUUUCUCUUCCUGUUUGCCAUGCUUCUCUGCCUGCUUCAUUAUUCCUGUUUCCCAUUU